rnacentral:rRNA from 1 species
AGCCAUUAGACGAUAUUAUAUGGUUCAACCUGCCCAAUGUUAAUUAUGAAUAAAUGGCCGCGGUACCCUGACCGUGCUAGGUAGCGUAAUCAGUUGACUUUUAAAUGAAGUCAGGAAUGAAUGGGAGAACCGGGUUUGACUGUCUCUAAAUUACUCUAUUGAAUUUACUUUCUAAGUGAAAAAGCUUAGAAUCAGCAAAGGGACGAGAAGACCCUUAGAAUUUUCUUUAAAAAGGUUUAUUAAUUUUUAUGAUUUUAUUGGGGCGAUAAAGAAAUAAUUAAAACUUUCUUUCAUAACAAGCCGAUUAUAUUAAGCAAGGAUAAAUUACCUGAGGGAUAACAGCAUAAUUCUAAAAUUGAGUUUGUGACCUCGAUGUUGGACUAGGAAACUAACAGGCUAGCCGUUUGUUAUGUUAGGUUCUGUUCGAACUUUUAUUCCUACGUGAUCUGA